GGACCGAACCCACUAACUUUGAAAAGUUAGGGGAUGACUUGUGGCUGGGGGUGAAAGGCCAAUCAAACCGGGAGAUAGCUGGUUCUCCCCGAAAUCUAUUUAGGUAGAGCCUCGGACGAAUUCCAUUGGGGGUAGAGCACUGUUAAGGCUAGGGGGUCAUCCCGACUUACCAACCCUUUGCAAACUCCGAAUACCAAUGAGAA
rnacentral:rRNA from 1 species